UUCUUGGUUUGAAUAAGCUCUAUGAGUCGAAAUCCUAUGAUCCGUUCUUUCUGUCUGCCCAUUGUUUGAAUAACUAUUCCUACUUUUUGUGCUUCCCUUUGAGUCACCAAUAUCCAUCUCCACAAUUUUUAUGUUCUCUUCCAUUCCUUUUUCAAAAUCCUGCAAGUGUAUAUUGGCAGAUUAGAUUUUUCUUUCAAAAUUCAGUAGACAAACUUCAAGAAGAUGAAUCUGACAGAUAUUUAUAAAUGACAUGAUUGGUGGAUCACAGAGGUUCUCCCCGAUGCCGCAGCAGUCAAUUGAAUCACAGCGGCAGCAACCUUUGCCGCUGCAGCUGCUGCAUCAGCAGCUGCGGCCGUGGCAACUGCGACUGCCAAGGCAUGUUUGUUCUGAUCAGCGUCUGCUUCCAGGAAUGCCUGUUGAGAUGGUGGUGUUGUGGCCAUCAUAUCCGUUGAAUUGGAGUCCUUCUGGCCUGGUGCAGUGGCUGAUGACCU